rnacentral:rRNA from 1 species
CAGUAGCCACGGGAACACGAAGGGUGCAAGCGUUAAUCGGAAUUACUGGGCGUAAAGCGUGCGUAGGCGGUUUGUUAAGUCUGCUGUGAAAUCCCCGGGCUCAACCUGGGAAUGGCAGUGGAUACUGGCAAGCUAGAGUGUGUCAGAGGAUGGUGGAAUUCCCGGUGUAGCGGUGAAAUGCGUAGAGAUCGGGAGGAACAUCAGUGGCGAAGGCGGCCAUCUGGGACAACACUGACGCUGAGGCACGAAAGCGUGGGGAGCAAACAGGAUUAGAUACCCGGGUAGUCCCUGUCUCUUAUAC